UAGCUCAGUUGGUAGAGCGGAGGACUGUA
rnacentral:piRNA from 3 species